ACAGUGGACGCGAGCAUCUGUGGCCAAGUUUUUAAGGGCGCACGGUGGAUGCCUUGGCACUAGGAAC
rnacentral:rRNA from 1 species